rnacentral:lncRNA from 1 species
ACGAAACAAAAAAUAAUAAAUUAUACGCAAAAUUGCUUAUAUUUUUAACUUUUAUGCUAUAUUUAUAUAAGUGUUUUACACAAGUAUGAGAAAUUAAAAAGAUUAAUCAAAAGUAAUAUAAAAUAGAGAAUAAUAAAAACAUUAAAGUGACAGCAACGACUUUCAAUGAUACAGUUAGAAACCAGAAUUUUCAAAAGAAGAGUGGGCUUUUAAAAAUUUUGUACGGGGCUAAGGAUCAGUAAACGAGUAGCAAGACUGGUAAAAUUUUGAGCGUUCAAAAAUUUGACCGGGCUAAGGCCCACCCUAGCCCCUUCACAGGUCCGCCACU